UGAUUCAAUCUCUCUUUCUCCCUCUUUAUCGUCUAACCUUUUCCCCCUCUAUGUUCUCUCUUUCUUUCAAAACCCUAAAUUGUCGCUGCCGCCAUCGCCAUAUCUCCACCACCGUGUACAUCCAGUUCACCGUUUAUCUUCCCAGGUUCACGUUUUUAUACCAGACUGCACAAAUCUGAUGGUUAGGGUUUCAUUAUCCAUGUUGUGUUAUGUUGAUCCUGUAAUUGCUAGAGAGGAGGAGAUAGAAAAGCUUAAGACAAUUGAUAGUGUCUUCUUUGAAUUAUAGGCAAAUAUGUAAAGCACUUUGUUGCAUCAAGAUACCAAUUCUUUUAUAAUCAUCAACCUAUGAGGUUUCGUCGAAGCUUUGUAGUAUGAAUAGUCUUGAAUAAAGUCCUCAUCUACUGCUAUUAGAGAUGAGUGGGAGUCCGUCUCUACAAUUCUACCUUUUCCCAUGACGAUUAUGGUAUCCGAGUUUUUGACUAUGAUUCGUGAUUCAUUAUUCAUGAAGAUAUUAAAUAUACGGGAAAUACUUGAUUUGAUUUGUUAAUGGUUGUUUGGAGUUGGAUCUUUGGGUUUUAUCUAUUGUGUGUUGUUUUCCAUUACUAAUUUCUUGACGAGAUAUGCGAUGACAAUAAUUUUCACUUGAUAGGCUCCAGCAAAUUAUGGGCUCAUGCCGUACCGCAUGCCGCCAAUGCUGAAACAAACUGGUUACCCCAAUAUGAUGGAAAGAUUAAACAAAUGCACUCUACAAUCUACAUAUGCAAGCGAAACAUUGUUUUCCUUUUAGAGCUUCUGCUGAUUUUUUUCUUGAUGAUGCUCUAAGAGAACUCUUGCUUCUGCAGGAUCUAACAAGGCUCUCGCUGACACUUUUAAGAAUGUUGUAGAGCCACAUAUUUAUUUUAUAAUCCAUAAUUUUAUAUAUGUUGAUGUGAACUGUUUUAAAUUCAUCAUUUACUUAUGUGUUUCUUCAUUUA